CUGGCUUAGGAGUUGGACUUCAAACCCUCAGCCCUCCCUCUAAGACAUAUCUCUUGGCCCCAUACCAUCAGUACAAAUUGCUACUAAAAACAUCCUCCUUUGUAAGUGUAUUUACCUAAUAUUUGGAAUCACACCUUGAAUAUGCAAAAUACUUACCGGACAGAAUGGAUGAAAACUCUACCUCAGUUCUAAGCAUAUCUUCUCCUGAUUUGGAUUAAAAUCUUCUGAACCACAUGCAGAAACAAACCAGGAAAGUUGUGAGAACCCACAGAUCCUCCGAAAGAAGCAGAUUGCUCCUGCAAGACCUGGGAAACACCCCAAAUAUUGUCUGUCUCUCCAGUGGAUGCCACAGAAACAUGCAGAGCCAACUAUAAUAGAGUGUGGUCACUGCCUUCAUGACAGAACUGAACAGCGUUAUGAAGAAAAGAGGCAUUGAUUCUACUUCAGUGGGGCCAGUGCUGGGCAGGAUGGUGAGAAGAGAGAGAGAAGAGAAACUCAGAAGAAUUAUA